rnacentral:rRNA from 1 species
AGUCACUGACAUUAGAUACCCGGGUAGUCCAGGGUGUAAACGCUGCAGACUUGGUGUUGGGAACCCUUCGGGGGUGCUCAGUGCCGGAGAGAAGUUGUUAAGUCUGCUACUUGGGAGUACGUCCGCAAGGAUGAAACUUAAAGGAAUUGGGCGGGGGAGCACCGCAACGGGAGGAGCGUGCGGUUUAAUUGGAUUCAACGACCGAAAACUCACCAGCAGCGACUGUUACAUGAAAGUCAGGUUGAUGACCUUACUAGAUUUUCAG